CGGAGGAUUGAGAAGGUUGAACAGCUUGUUUCCGUGCUGUUAGAACUGGUUAUAACCUCCAAAAUCAACCAACAAGCCGCAGAGUUGACCCCUCUGUUGUUGAAGGGGCCGAUUUGUGCGUUUGUGGAACAUUGU
ensembl:snoRNA